GUGCUUGCCUCAGCCACACACAUACUAAACUCGAAACAAUACAGGGAAGAUGACCAUGGCCCAUGUGCAAGGGGGACACGCAAACCUGUGACACAUUCCACAUUUCA
rnacentral:snRNA from 1 species